rnacentral:rRNA from 1 species
UACGGAGGAUGCAAGCGUUAUCCGGAUUUAUUGGGCGUAAAGCGUCCGCAGGCGGUUUGUCAAGUCUGCUGUUAAAGCGCAGGGCUUAACUCUGUAACGGCGGUGGAAACUGGCAGGCUAGAGUAUGGUAGGGGUUGGGGGAAUUCCAGGUGUAGCGGUGAAAUGCGUAGAUAUUGGGAGGAACACCGGUGGCGAAGGCGGCCACCUGGACGAAGACUGACGCUCAUGGACGAAAGCGAGGGGAGCAAAAGGG